GCUCACUGACGGUCUCCUGGGCAAGGCAGCUACGUGAUCCUUCCCUUGGUUCCAGCCACGGCAGGAACGUGGAGUGAAGAAUACUGACGGCUGCGGAGUCCUCUACCAGUUACUAAGACCUGUGAUGUAUAUAGAGAUCUGCCUCAAUGAUGAUGAUCAAACUGACCCCCCAACUCGUAUCCACGACCGUCCUGAGAAGGCCUGUAUGCGUCGAGCUAUGAAAUAUAAGGGGUAGGUGCACCUUUGCUGUAUAUAGGGAUCCUGAUAUGGAUCUCGUAGGAUGAUGAAAGGAUCAAUGAGAUUCUGUCCAUUGGGCCUGGUGCAGAGCUGGUACCCAGUGGAAAACAGACACGUGCCCUUCUCCCCCACCUCUCUGGAAGCAACGCUGAGAAAGGCUUUAGCCAAGUACUUAUCUCAACCGGAACUUACAGUUUGGCAUUUACUGAUUUUUCACUGCUCUUUUGCACGCGUAACUUGAAGCCUGACAGCAGUACUUGACAUUCCUUCCUGGACAAGGCUUCCCAGAAAAGUUUGGCAUUUGUUACCAUCUUGGCACGACCAAAUUCCUUCCUUUCUAAAGGUACAGCUCAAAGAUUGCCUCCUGAAGGCAUUCCACCUCCCACCCCACCCACAAUUCCUUCCUCUCUUAACCUCCUUAUUCCCCUAAGCAAUCUUUCACUCCUCUAAGUUGGGAAGAAUUUUUGACUAUGCCGUCUUAUGAACCUCUCAAUCUGUUAUUGAUAUUUGUGCCACCUGUUAUCUUCUCUGCUGCAAGCUUUUUUUAGACUGAGUCCAUGUCAGAUUUAUCUGGAUUCACAAUAUCUGGCACUAAGCAGAGCUUUAAAAAGAACUUUGUAAAAGAGAAAAAGCUAAUGAAUGAAUAAAUGUGAUUAAGAAGUAAGGAGAAAGAACCUUUAAAAACUUGGAGAAUUGUAGAAAACAUUCAGGGUUUAGCUUUGGAUACUAACCUUUGCCAUUUCAACCCACUUUUCUAUGUUUUGUGACUUCUUGUUUCUUUCAAACUUCCAAAUAUUGAUGUUCAUUUUUAUUUGUUCAUUGUAUUUGUUCAGAUCUGUGUAUCUUAAGGAGUGUGGUCUUUCUCUGAGUGAUGCACCAUAGUUAUAUACUGCCUUUCUCAACUUUAGGAAAUGUAGAGUUUAUGUUUACAUUAAUAUGAUGUAAUACUUGUGGGAGACCAACCUCGCAGUGAUUGGGUCACAUUCCCCUGCUGGGUGCUGAGGCGCUCAGGCGCAGAAAUGUGGCAGAGCUUUCCCCACCCUUCUUGGGUUCGAGGGUCGGUGUCUCGUGCAUGGGUGUGUCUUGCUACAGCCCCAUGAGUGAAGCUAUGCUCACCUGUUCCUUUGUAAUAUAACCCCUUGCCCCAUUUAGGAUAGAAUCUUCCAUGGAAGUGCCUUAUGUGUGUCCCCUUCUCUUACUGUGGGUGUGGCCUACCUAGGUGUCAGUUAACCUGCUGACAGUGGACAUCAUGAAGAUAGACUCAGCCCCCUGAAACCUGACCCCUUGCCUCAUUUGAGUAGCUUCUCCUCAAUAAAAGGGGUAAGCCAGUGCUCAUGCUCUCUCUUCCUGUGGACCCUUAAAGUCAGAGGAGCUGUCACAGUGACCCCAAAGAAAAAAGGUAUUUGUGUCUCUUGUGUGGUUAUUUUGCGUAGCCCAGUCAGCCCAGUUCAACUGGAGUAAACCCUGAGCCUUUUAGUCGCGAGAACAGAAACCCGGCAAAUACUCAUGUGUCUUUUUUUUUUUUUUGGAAGAACCCAAAGUGUAGUUCCCUUGAUAACUGGAAGUCAGCUAUUAGAGAGUUUGGCAAACAAAACACUACUUCAAUAAUGAAGAUGAAAUAAGAUUUUAGAAAACAAAAGCUUAAGAGAAUUUGUCAUCAUCGGGCACAGGAUAAUGGGACUAUUAUAGAGCAUCCUCCUAGCAGGAAAAAAAUUAUCCACAUGGAAGCCUAGAAAUGUAGGAAGACAAAAAGAAGAAGGAGAGGAAGGAACAAUAAAAUAUUGUGGAUUAUAUUUGUAUAAUAUGAAAUAUUAAAUAAGUAUACAAACAACUAUAGAAAAUUAUUGGAUAAUUUUGGAGAAAGGGAAUGUCCAUUAGGCAGAAAGAAAACAAUCCCACAUAAAAGCUCAGAAAUGAAGGAAUGAAUUGAGAGCAAUGGAAGGCAUAAGUAUGAGGGCAAAUGUACAUCAAUAUUAAUUGUAUACCCCAAUAAUGAUGAUGUUCUAUGUAGUUCAAAAACAUAUAGACUCAAAAUACCUGAAAACAAUGGCAUUUGAUUUUCACAGAGAAAGAAAAUGGAGCUAAAGCAUUUUAAAGUUGCAAUAUUGCCUUGCAAACAAGUUAAAUGUUAAUUUAUGGUAAAU
rnacentral:lncRNA from 1 species